AACGAACGCUGGCGGCAGGCCUAACACAUGCAAGUCGAGCGCCCCGCAAGGGGAGCGGCGGACGGGUGAGUAACGCGUGGGAAUAUGCCCUUUGCUACGGAAUAGUCUCGGGAAACUGGGGGUAAUACCGUAUACGCCCUUUGGGGGAAAGAUUUAUCGGCGAAGGAUUAGCCCGCGUUGGAUUAGGUAGUUGGUGGGGUAAUGGCCUACCAAGCCGACGAUCCAUAGCUGGUUUGAGAGGAUGAUCAGCCACACUGGGACUGAGACACGGCCCAGACUCCUACGGGAGGCAGCAGUGGGGAAUCUUAGACAAUGGGGGCAACCCUGAUCUAGCCAUGCCGCGUGAGUGAUGAAGGCCUUAGGGUUGUAAAGCUCUUUCGGCUGGGAAGAUAAUGACGGUACCAGCAGAAGAAGCCCCGGCUAACUCCGUG
rnacentral:rRNA from 1 species